rnacentral:rRNA from 1 species
CCGCAAGGUUAAAACUCAAAGAAAUUGACGGGGGCCCGCACAAGCGGUGGAGCAUGUGGUUUAAUUCGAUGCAACGCGAAGAACCUUACCUACUCUUGACAUCCUCGGAAUUCUCUAGAGAUAGAGAAGUGCCUUCGGGAACCGAGUGACAGGUGCUGCAUGGCUGUCGUCAGCUCGUGUCGUGAGAUGUUGGGUUAAGUCCCGUAACGAGCGCAACCCUCGUCCUUAGUUGCCAGCACGUAAUGGUGGGAACUCUAAGGAGACCGCCGGUGAUAAACCGGAGGAAGGUGGGGAUGAUGUCAAGUCAUCAUGGCCCUUACGAGUAGGGCUACACACGUGCUACAAUGGGCAGUACAAAGGGUUGCCAAGCCGCAAGGUGGAGCUAAUCCCAAAAAACUGUUCUCAGUCCGGAUCGGAGUCUGCAACUCGACUCCGUGAAGUUGGAAUCGCUAGUAAUCGCGAAUCAGAAUGUCGCGGUGAAUACGUUCCCGGGCCUUGUACACACCGCCCGU